UUCUUAUUAAUUUAUUUAUAAUAGGUAAAAUCUGUCCGGUGAUUAAUUUAAACGGCUAUAAUUAUAUUAAAGUAGCGUAGUAAUUUGUCAUUUAAUUAAUGAAUAUAAUGAAGAUUUUAUGAAUUAAAUACUGUCUCUAAAAUAUAAAACAAAAUUAAUAGUUUAGUGAAAAAACUUAAUUAAUUUUAAAAGACGAGAAGACCCUAUAGAACUUAUUUUAAAUUUUAAAUUUACUGGGGAAGUAAAAAUAAAACCAAAAUUAUUUUUAAAUAUAAAAACUUAAAGUUUUAUAGCCACUAAUUAGUGAUUAAAAAGUUACCUUAGGGAUAACAGCAUUAAAAAUAUAAAAAGUUCUUAUUUUAAUAUUUUUUAAUGACCUCGAUGUUGAAUUAAGAUAUAAUUAAAGAGUAAAAAUUUUAUUUAUAAAGGUCUGUUCGACCUUUAAAAUCUU
rnacentral:rRNA from 1 species